CAAGAACCAUUUCUUUCUUCAUUUUUUGUACAUAUCAUUCACUUUUAUUUCUCUGAUGAGAACUUGUGAUUGAUUUUAUUGCAUUGGCUGAGAGGAGUUGACUGUUUUGGUGUGAAGAUGCUGCAGGCUUAACGUUAUUUGAACAAUGAUCUACCGUUGGCUUAUAAUUGUAGUGAUAUUGCCUACUUUCAUGUUUGUUUCUUUCAAGUUACUCUUGUACCAGAACACUCUAUUUCUUUUCUCUACUGAUUCAGUAGGUGGAAUCUAUCUUUUUCUCCACCAUGUUGUUCUGCUGAGUUAAGUAAUUUGAAUUAAACUAUUAAUGAACUUUAACUCAUGAUGUUCACCUUUUCUGAAAAAUGACAUUUUUGUAUGUUGGGAUGGUAUCUUGUAUGAGGCUGUAGUUGCAAGUGCUAAAAGGAAGUGCUGGGAUAGUUUUCUGUGUGUUGAUCUUAAUGGACAUAGGGUAAUAGGGAAUUCGUCGAAGAGGGUAAAAAAUUUCUUUCCUCGAUAAAUUAUGCACAGAACGGUAGAAGUGGUGGGUGGCAGUUGAAGGGCAAUGGCAAAAUAAAAUUGAUUAUUUGGAGAUGAAUAUUCCAUUGUGGAAUUUAACAGGUAGACAGGAGGAUUUUAGUAAUAGGAUUAGUGAUUAAACAAAAGGUUGAUGUUUUCAUGAUGCAAGAAUAAAAAUUAAACAGGUGAUAUGGGAAUUCUUGAUGGCAGGUAAAAUAUUGCUAUCUGAUGGAAACAUUAGGAAAAAUGUGGAACUUUUCAGUGAAAACUUCAGGAUAUGUUAAAAAACAUGUUUACGCACUUUGAACAAAAUAUUACAAAAAGCAACUAUGUUUAUGAUAGGUUUUCAUUUUAUAGGGGCCUAAACCAUGCCGUCACACAAAAGCAAUGCAAUAUUUUAGUCAGGAACAUCAUUCAAAAGUUUUUUCUAAUUAUAGAUAACAAUGAUCCAUACAUGCAUGUAUACAUACAUAUCAUCCAUACAUAGAUCCAUCCAUCCAUCCAUAGAUAGAUACAUCCAUACACACACACACACAUCCAUGCAUACAUUCAUAUAUCUAUUCAUCCCUACAUACAUGCAUCUGUCCAUACAUACAUGCAUGAAUACAUACAUAUAUUCCAUACAUAGAUCCAUCCAUCCAUCCAUAGAUAGAUACAUUCAUACAUCCAUACAUACAUUUAUAUAUCUAUCCAUCCCUAUAUACAUGCAUCAUCAUCAUCAUC